GAUGAACGCUGGCGGCGUGCCUAAUACAUGCAAGUCGAGCGAACGGACGAGAAGCUUGCUUCUCUGAUGUUAGCGGCGGACGGGUGAGUAACACGUGGAUAACCUACCUAUAAGACUGGGAUAACUUCGGGAAACCGGAGCUAAUACCGGAUAAUAUUUUGAACCGCAUGGUUCAAAAGUGAAAGACGGUCUUGCUGUCACUUAUAGAUGGAUCCGCGCUGCAUUAGCUAGGUGGUAAGGUAACGGCUUACCAAGGCAACGAUGCAUAGCCGACCUGAGAGGGUGAUCGGCCACACUGGAACUGAGACACGGUCCAGACUCCUACGGGAGGCAGCAGUAGGGAAUCUUCCGCAAUGGGCGAAAGCCUGACGGAGCAACGCCGCGUGAGUGAUGAAGGUCUUCGGAUCGUAAAACUCUGUUAUUAGGGAAGAACAUAUGUGUAAGUAACUGUGCACAUCUUGACGGUACCUAAUCAGAAAGCCACGGCUAACUACGUG
rnacentral:rRNA from 1 species